CCAUGAUGGAUGGAAGGUUCCAGGUCAAAUGAAUUGCCUGAUUUGCUUUAUUCCGUUCCUGCUGAGU
rnacentral:snoRNA from 1 species